rnacentral:rRNA from 1 species
CCCUUAGAUGUCCGGGGCCGCACGCGCGCUACACUGAAGGAAUCAGCGUGGCUUUCUCCCUGACCCGAAAGGGUUGGGAAACCCGUUGAAUCUCCUUCGUGAUAGGGAUUGGGGCUUGAAAUUGUUCCCCAUGAACGAGGAAUUCCCAGUAAGCGCGAGUCAUAAGCUCGCGUUGAUUACGUUCCUGCCCUUUGUACACACCGCCCGUCGCUACUACCGAUUGAACGGUUUAGUGAGGGCCUCGGAUUGGUCUCGGCCCGCUCUUUACCGGGCGGCGCCGUUGGUCGAGAAGACGCUCGAACUUGAUCGUUUAGAGGAAGUAAAAGUCGUAACA